rnacentral:rRNA from 1 species
AACGCGAAGAACCUUACCUGGGCUUGAACUGCACCGGACAAGGGUGGAAACACCCUCUCCCGAAAGGGCUGGUGUAGAGGUGCUGCAUGGCUGUCGUCAGCUCGUGUCGUGAGAUGUUGGGUUAAGUCCCGCAACGAGCGCAACCCUUGUCCUGUGUUGCCAUGCCGCAAGGCGGCACUCGCAGGAGACCGCCAGCGAUAAGCUGGAGGAAGGUGGGGAUGACGUCAAGUCCUCAUGGCCUUUAUGUCCAGGGCUACACACGUGCUACAAUGGCCGGUACAAAGCGUCGCUAACCUGCGAAGGGGAGCCAAUCGCAAAAAACCGGUCUCAGUUCGGAUUGCAGGCUGCAACUCGCCUGCAUGAAGCUGGAAUCGCUAGUAAUGGCAGAUCAGCACGCUGCCGUGAAUACGUUCCCGGGCCUUGUACACACCGAGACGAC